GAAUUUUUCGCAAUGGGGGAAACCCUGACGAAGCAAUGCCGCGUGGAUGAUGAAGUAUUUCGGUACGUAAAAUCCUUUCGACGGGGACGAAGCCGCACGGUUGACGGUACCCGUAGAAGAAGCCCCGGCUAACUCCGUUCCCGCAGCCGCGGUAAUACGGGGGGGGCAAGCGUUGUUCGGAAUUACUGGGCGUAAAGGGUGCGUAGGCGGCUCUCUAAGUCGGAUGUGAAAACUCUGGGCUCAACCCAGAGCCUGCAUCUGAAACUGGAGGGCUAGGGUUCUGGAAGGGAAAGCGGAAUUCCUGGUGCAGCGGUGAAAUGCGUAGAUAUCAGGAGGAACACCGGUGGCGAAGACGGCUUUCUGGACAGAUACCGACGCUGAGGCACGAAAGCUAGGGGAGCAAACAGG
rnacentral:rRNA from 1 species